rnacentral:pre_miRNA from 1 species
GUUUCAAUUACAGGGCAAAAUCUCCACUGGCAGGCAGCCACUUUGAAUAUUUAUUGUUAUCAUAGUGAGCCCUCUGCCAAUGGAGAUUUGCCCGGCAAUUCCACU